rnacentral:rRNA from 1 species
GAUGAACGCUGGCGGCGUGCCUAAUACAUGCAAGUCGAGCGAAGCGGGGACGCGUGAGUAUAACGUGGAUAAACCCCUAUAAGCCUGGGAUAAAUUCGGGAAACCGGAGCUAAACCGGCUACUUAUCGCUGGAUCCGAGCUGCAUUAGCUAGGUGGUAAGGUAACGGCUUACCAAGGCAACGAUGCAUCGCCGACCUGAGAGGAUGGUAGGCCACACUGGAACUGAGACACGGUCCGGACUCCUACGGGAGGCAGCAGUAGGGAAUCUUGCGCAAUGGGCGAAAGCCUGACGGAGCAACGCCGCGUGAGUGAUGAAGGCCUUCGGAUCGUAAAACUCGGUUGUUAGAGAGGCGUUAUCUAACCAGGAAGCCACGGCUAACUACGUGCCAGCAGCCGCGGUAAUAC